AACGCUGGCUGUGUGCCUAAUACAUGCAUGUCGAGCGAGGUUCUUUUGAACCUAGCGGCGAAUGGGUGAGUAACACGUGCUUAAUCUACCCUUUAGAUUGGAAUACCCAAUGGAAACAUUGGCUAAUGCCGGAUACGCAUGGAAUCGCAUGAUUCCGUUGUGAAAGGAGCCUUUAAAGCUCCGCUAGAGGAUGAGGGUGCGGAACAUUAGUUAGUUGGUAGGGUAAUGGCCUACCAAGACUAUGAUGUUUAGCCGGGUCGAGAGACUGAACGGCCACAUUGGGACUGAGAUACGGCCCAAACUCCUACGGGAGGCAGCAGUAGGGAAUAUUCCACAAUGAGCGAAAGCUUGAUGGAGCGACACAGCGUGCACGAUGAAGGUCUUCGGAUUGUAAAGUGCUGUUAUAGGGAAAAGAACACCUGGUUGAGGAAAUGCUUCCAGGCUGACGGUACCCUGUCAGAAAGCGAUGGCUAACUAUGUGCCAGCAGCCGCGGUAAUACAUAGGUCGCAAGCGUUAUCCGGAAUUAUUGGGCGUAAAGCGUUCGUAGGCUGUUUAUUAAGUCUGGAGUCAAAUCCCAGGGCUCAACCCUGGCUCGCUUUGGAUACUGGUAAACUAGAGUUAGAUAGAGGUAAGCGGAAUUCCAUGUGAAGCGGUGAAAUGCGUAGAUAUAUGGAAGAACACCAAAGGCGAAGGCAGCUUACUGGGUCUAUACUGACGCUGAGGGACGAAAGCGUGGGGAGCAAACAGGAUUAGAUACCCUGGUAGUCCACGCCGUAAACGAUGAUCAUUAGUCGGUGGAGAGUUCACUGACGCAGCUAACGCAUUAAAUGAUCCGCCUGAGUAGUAUGCUCGCAAGAGUGAAACUUAAAGGAAUUGACGGGGACCCGCACAAGCGGUGGAGCAUGUGGUUUAAUUUGAAGAUACGCGGAGAACCUUACCCACUCUUGACAUCCUUCGCAAUGCUAUAGAGAUAUAGCAGAGGUUAACGGAGUGACAGAUGGUGCAUGGUUGUCGUCAGCUCGUGUCGUGAGAUGUUUGGUCAAGUCCUGCAACGAGCGCAACCCCUAUCUUUAGUUACUAACGAGUCAUGUCGAGGACUCUAGAGAUACUGCCUGGGUAACUGGGAGGAAGGUGGGGAUGACGUCAAAUCAUCAUGCCUCUUACGAGUGGGGCAACACACGUGCUACAAUGGUCGGUACAAAGAGAAGCAAUAUGGCGACAUGGAGCAAAUCUCAAAAAGCCGAUCUCAGUUCGGAUUGGAGUCUGCAAUUCGACUCCAUGAAGUCGGAAUCGCUAGUAAUCGCAGAUCAGCUACGCUGCGGUGAAUACGUUCUCGGGUCUUGUACACACCGCCCGUCACACCAUGGGAGCUGGUAAUACCCAAAGUCGGUUAGCUAACCUCGGAGGCGACCGCCUAAGGUAGGACUGGUGACUGGGGUGA
rnacentral:rRNA from 1 species